ensembl:lncRNA
GGGCCGGAGUGUGGCCGCAGGGCAGGCGACACACAGAUGAAAUGGGUUUCGGGCCCGGCCCCUUACAAGAUGUUACCCCCCAAGUGCCACCGGAGAGAUAUGUGCCCGCUGUGGUCCCGGGGCGCACCCCCCCCCCCCCCCCUACCCCUGGAGCCGGGGGGGCGCUGGUCGGUAGAGUAGCGAGAGUGAAACACUAGAGCAGAUUCCGAGUCCGGCCCGCGGCGGGCGUGCCGCGAGAUCCUCCCCUCGACGCGACCUCUCUCCCGCAAUCACUGUAGUUACUCUCAAAGGAGAGCCAAUCGGACGAGGCCUUUCCCAGUACUUUACACUGUGUACGAUGCGUUGUUUUAAAUAGACACUUUCAAACCCCAGAUCAGGAAAUCCGUUGGCAGAAACGGAUGGUGGUAGUUUAUUCUUUUUUUUAAUUGGCACGUGCGGUACUUAGUCAAACUAAUUAAAAACGUAGUUGUCGGACCAGGUGCGUUUAUGUUUUCGCUGUCGUAUCCGAUGGCGAUGGGGUGCCAACUGGCACCAGCCUUAACUCUGGGCGUGAGUCAAUGUUUUUAACGUACAAGAGGUCCAGACAAAAUGUGAACUGAUUUGCUACAGAGCCAGUGAGUUUUGCAUAUGAAACCCUGUUGUGGCUCUUAUUUUGAAAUUUAUUUUUAAUCAACUGUUCUAUUCUGUGAAGAAAGCAGCAAUGUUGAUUUUGCACCUCAUCCUAAUGUGUAGCUGUCAUAGGGCACUUGAUUUCCUGUAAAGGAAGUAUAGAACUUUUACAAUUUUCAGGUUUGGAACAUAACUCUCGAAAAAGCAACUAAACAUUGUCAUAUAAUUCUAUAUUUCUAAUUUAAUAAUUGUUUGCGUAAAAUGCACAUUUGUAUAAUGACAACGAUGUUUUAAGGUACUUUGUAUAUUAAGGCCAAUAGUUGGCUGCAAUUGUGUUGAUAAAUCAUGUAGAGCUUAGCAACCUUUAUUGUAUGUCAAUUUGGCAAACUGUCUGAAAGUGUUUCACAAUGCUGUUAACUACGUAGACUGACUACACUGACCACAGAGAUUAUUUUGAAUAUGCAAUUUUUUUUCUCCUUUUUACACUAUGCAGAGAUCUUUUAAACAUUGAAUGAUAAUUUGCAGCCCACUGUAUAAAUUAAUAUUUCUCACAAAUUAAACAAAAAAGGUUUUUUGAUCUUGACCUGAACGCUGGAUUCUCAUUAUUACCUCUUGUUAUUAUUCAUAAUAAGGGUUGGAUAAUAAAACCAUACUAAUAUCUAACCCUUGUUUUUCUUUAAGCAAAUUACCCCAUUUAUCUGCUUAUAGUGGACGAUUGCAUCCAUUCCAGACUCCAU